rnacentral:tRNA from 1 species
GAGGGUACAGCUCAGUGGUAGAGCAUGUGCUUAGGAUGCACAAGGUCCUGGGUUUGAUCCCCACUACAUCCU